CUACACCAGCCUCUACAACUGUUUUCAGUACAAAACAGGGAGUCAGAUUUGGUACUGACGUAUGGAUGGCGUCACUUUUAAUUGAUGGAAGUUUCAACCGUCUGAAAAUUGAUCACGGAGGAGAAAUUAAUAACUGUGGACGCGGAACGGCACAUCAAAACGUGGAACGGAACGGCAAGAUGUGGAACGGAACUGCAUAUCAAGACGUGGAACAGAACGGCAAGAUGUGGAACGCCUGUUUUUAGCGCUCAAGCUAUCCGAGAGAAUUCCACGGAUCGGCACUGGUCCACGGCCCGGUGGUUGGGGACCACUGAACAGCACUGGUCCACGGCCCGGUGGUUGGGGACCACUGAACAGAACCGGUCCACGGUCUGGUGGUUGGGGACCACUGAACAGCACCGGUCCACGGUCUGGUGGUUGGGGACCACUGAACAGCACCGGUCCGCGGUCUGGUGGUUGGGGACCACUGAACAGCACCGGUCCACGGCCCGGUGGUUGGGGAUCGCUGGUUUAAAGCAUCAGAAAAAUAUCACCACAACGUUUGUUUCAAAAACAUCUGAAGAUCAUGAAGCACCAGACGUUUCCUCACAUGUGAUACUCAUGACCUUCUCCAGUGGAACCAAAAAUAAACAACCAUAAAUGUCCAAAGACUUAAAUCAAAG